GGGUGCAGCCCUGGCUGGGCUCUUGUGCUGCCCACGGUGCAUCCAUGGAGGAGAUCCUUUAAUAAAUCCCUGCUUUGUUCUUCAGCUCUGUCCAGCUCUGUUCUAGGCCAGUUUUCGUUACCCCCCUGGCAAGUUGCUGAAUGGCUUUGUUGGCCAGCAGAGCGAUUUUGGAGCAAAUUAAGAUUUGUUGGGUGCUUGUUAAAGACAUCAGGUGCUUCAAUGCCAUAAAUCAACAACAAAUGCCAUAAAUCUGAGGCAAAUGAGAAAGGAUAAGAGGAAGAAGAAAAGAGGAAAAAUAUUUGAAAGGUUUUUAUUAGUUUAGAAGCUGGCUGAUGAUGGAUUGGAUGAUUUGAAAGGUCUUUUCCAACCUGAGUGAUCCCAUGAAGUUUGCUUGAGAAGGUUCAAGGAGAAUCUCUCAUUCAGGAGCAGAAGGCACUCCUAGAAGGGAGCUGGCUCUAGAAGGAGAAUGGAGCUGCCUCUGAAAGCCCUGGGAGACACACAAGCCCAGCGGUGAUGAAAUCCUCCAGCUGAGGAAGCUGCAGUGUGGAACAAACUGCUUAGAAGAACUGGACCUUUUCCAGGUGAACAUCCUCAGGGUGUGCUGUGAGCAGGGCAGGGUUUGGUUACUCCACUUGUGAAUUCAUUAGCUGGGCUCGCUCCGUGGGCAGGGCUGUGCUGCCCUGCUCUCCCUAUUG